rnacentral:piRNA from 1 species
UGUCCUCAUGGCAUGUGCUUUCUCAGGAAC